CAAAUGCAAUCUUGCGGCUCGAGCUUGCAGGCCAAUCGAUAGUUCUUAUCGAAAAUGGCUUCCUUUUGCUAUUCGGCAACUCGGCUUCAUUAAGAAAUUGUCACUUCGAAGAUGGUUUGGUUAUUGCACCUCGGUUCUGAGCAGCUUUUGCUGUACAGUAGCAACCAGCCGUUUCGUAUUUUCCGAGCGUACACGCAGAAGGGGAAAUCGGCAGUGGUGAAAAUACAAUUUAAUCACGACUCCUCUUGCCAAAUAUUCACCGUAAAAGUAGAUGCUUCGGAGGCCCUGAGGAGCAUUUCGUUGCAGGAUUCAUGGUUUGAGAACUUGAGUCCUCACCCAGUACUAUUCGAGUGUUGCUUUAGAAGUGAUGAAAAUGCCGCUGUCGAGCCACCAGAUGCUGCUUCUGAGAAAUCAGAUUAAUAUGAAUAGUAUCCAAACUAAAAACAAACUAAUAGGCCUAAGCAAAAAGUACAAAUAUAAUAAAAUACUUAAUUUUCAUGGUUUCUAAUCCAAAAUGGCGACUGCUGGACGCGGGCAGACCAAUCGACUAAAUCAAUGCAAGUGCUCACAACUGAACAAAGAAUGUCUUCCAGGAUGGAUUACUUAAUGCUAAUUACAUAUCCAACGAUUCCAACUUUGUACAACUCACAUUCCAAGAGGCCAUUCCGCACUUUUCAAGCGUCUGCGAUGACUCAUGCAGCGCCGCCAUUAAAAAUAACAUCUGAGCAAAACACCCGGACUGCGACUGCUACAGCAGAUUGUAAAGCAAUCAGGGGUGAGAUUAUCAGCAAUAAAACAUUAUUUGAGUACUAGGCAGUACCACAAUAUUCAUCUAUUGUCCUUAUUUGACUGAGUAAGAAAUCGCCCAAUUGAGUGAAAUAUUUCCGCACCUGACACAUUUUUCUUCCAUGAAAAACCACGCAGAGGAGGAUGGCGAGCUAAGUGCAAGCCGGAGACCGGCGUGGGGUGAUUGCCAAAGCGUGCAUACCUAAGAAUCACCUGGAAAAGUGAGUGAAAAGUGACCUGAGUGAUUUUAAAUCACUGAAACUGUGCCUUUUCUGCGGCAUCGCUGAGGUUAUUCAUGCUCGUGUUUGUUACUUCGGCUCAACACUGAUCGUACCGACUGUGACUAUGGUCAUCCGUGCGAGUGAUCCCAGAACCGAAGUCUUCUGCGCUUUCGGCUCUCUUUGCGGCAGCGCAUUCGGUUGUGUGCGUGCGAGUCUGUGGUUGAUUUUUGUGAUCCGAACGAAGCGAUUCAGCGCAUGAGUAGAACAAGUAGCGUGUACUUCUCUGGUACAUAACUAUUCGUACACAUACAUCUGUUUGUAGCUGUUUGUAUACACAAAAGCGUGCUAUUUCGCACCAACAAAACCAUUAUGUAUUACACAAAUAUGAGCAGGUCUCCAGUUGGCCAAUCCCACAGUUUAACUUGUACAUGUUUGCCCAAGUAUUUAGCACUGUUUAGAGCUAAUUCGUAUCUGAUGGGAUGGGCCAAGUCAAUUAUCAGUUGAGGCAGGCUGAACGAACUCCACGAAGCACGUGCCACUGGAUCUGGCUAAUGAAAAGCUAGGAAAUCAAGUGAGCAAAACCCACUCGAGGCGUGGGACUUCAAUUGAAAGAAUAUUUCACUCUACAUAUACAUACAUAUGUAUAUGUAACUGCAUGAAGAGAGUGGUUCAAUCAGUCAGUUGGCCAGGCCACAGGCCGAGAGAGCGAGAGAGCGAGAGAGAGACCUGUCGGACGAGCUCUGACGACUCGACUCACGUAGGCGCCGCACCGCUCCGCACCGCCAGAGUUACGCAAUCGAAUGGAGGAGACUCCAUCGGAUAGGAUAGGAUGCCACUACCGCUAUAGCGGAAUUGCUCUUUCGCUGUAUCAAAAUUGUGGCUUACAUUUUAUGCAGACCAUUUUUCGCUUUACCGUUGGCUUUUCGCCUCUGUUAUGAUUGGAUUUAAUUGAUGCAGAGACUGGGAGUGGGACUGGGACUGGGAAAUGGGGCUUCUCGUGGGGGCUACUGUGGUGAAGGCCCGCCAAAAUAUGCGGAAGUUAUUAGUGAAAAGAAACCCGACAGCUGACAGAAGUCUGGGACAAUGGCGCUCCGGCCCGAUCCGGCCCCCGCUCUCCGGCAUUACAUAAGACGCCAAACAACUUGUCAAGAGUGGGGCCGAAAAAGGCUGAAAGCAGCCAGCCAGCCAGCCAGCCAGCCCCAGUCCGAGCUCGAGCCAAACACGGGAUGGAUUUGGGCCAGGCCAAACAAUGAAAGUUGCGCACAGAAAGGCACGGCACGCAAGCAGCGUAACAACUACAACUACAACUACAACUACUCGUACUCGUACUCGAAUGAGCACAUGGCUCGUACAUAAAGCAAAUCUGACCCAAUUUCCUAUUUGAUAUUACACACGAUUUGUUUGCAUUUAUUGUUCAGUUUUAGUGCAGGUCUGUUGCCAAAUUGAACGAACGUGGAAUCUCAAUUGAAAACUGAAUUUUCUUUCGUUUUCACCACAAUUUCGAUGGGCCCCUCCCCUUUGGUGGGUCUCUGAAUCACCCAGUCAGAUAAUCAGAUAAUCAUUGCACAGAGACUUUUAAUUCCACCAUCAAUAUGUUUUGUCAUAAUUCGGCCAUUUCGCUCGCAUUCCCAUGGCAUGCCACGGCACUCUUGCCAGAUGUGCCCGGCAUGCCCAAUCCGCCGCAGUCCCAUCGAUCGUUUGUAAACAAAGCGAAAUAUAUUCUCAUUUUUUGCGCAAUGUCACUGGAUCCAUUCGAUUUGCAUAUAAAGUGCUCUCCGGCGUGAUUCUCGAUCCAGCCACUAAAAAUACGAGCAUGUGUGCUUUGUUUAUCGCCUUCAAGGUGUGUGGCACCUGUAUUUUCGGUCAACGCCUGAAAGUAUGUGGACGGAAUCGUCGCAAGCAAAACCCCAAGCAACAGAAGAGUGGAGUGGACAAUUCGUUGAAGGCUCCAGUCUUUCGUGGGUCUAUUAGUGGGCGGGAGGGCCUCUUAAAGGCCUCUUCCUGGGGGUUCCUGUGGUUGCCUCAGAGCGGUAGAUGGAUUCCCCUGACCUUCAGUAGGUUUUCCACGGGCCUUUCCUCCCUUCGGUACUGCUUUUGGAUCUUCCAAAGAUUGUGUUACGUUCACCAAACUACAUAUUUCCUGUUCUGAUAUUCCGACCAUUGCAUGUUAGCCACCAAUUUAAAAGCGAUCAAACAACGUUGGAAGCACGAUCAGACUUCGCCCCGACACGCGGCAGCGUGUUCAAUGAUUCAUCUCGGAGCUCUCGCACAGGUGCCAGCGGCCGACCGAUCGCUUCCUAGGCACUCAGAGAUGCACUUGAGAGAGCGAUUAGCAAAGCGUUUCACAAAUCACCCAAGGGUGACAGGGCACAAAACAGGAUCCCCGCCCCUAAUGAAGCGAAGAUCAUUAGGGAGGCAAGCCCGCCCAGAAGGCCAGUGGAGACGAUGAACAAUACAGGUUUACGGAGAUAAUGAAUCGAGCGAAUUCUGUGGAAUCCAUCAUUAUUCGGGCCUUCUUUGGGAGGUUCUGAGCGCCGUCCAAGGCUAUCGCUGGAGAACAGACUCUUCUCCAUCCCAGAGGUCUUUGCGCUCCAAUUGCACGUAAUUGAAUGGAAACGUAUACAAAUUGAAGUGCAUUUCGAUCACGUAGUGCAUUCAUCAGCGAAACUCUGACACUCGUUGGUGAAAAUCGGAUACGGAUACGAAUACGUGCGAACGGGCGGCCGGCCGGGCAUUUACCACCGAUUAACACAAAUAUCCGAAACAUACAACAAUUAUCAUACGCGGGGGCUAGGGGGGAUAGAGGGGAGCCAGCAUCAGCACUCACUCUCGGUUUCCGUUGAACUCGUUUCCAUCCGACGAGACACAGCCUCUUCAUUUGGGGCCACAGCGAUUACGUGUGGAUCGGGGAACCGGUUCUGGACUGGCAUCUGAAUAUUUCCCAAGCCCCAGCCCAAGCCGCAAGCCCGAACCCAAGCCCCAAGCCCGUGCCCAAGUCCAAGCGGACGGAAUGUCUUGCCUUAGUUCUGUUCGAUAAAUUAAAUGUCACAAAUCAAGUCAAGUUUUCUUCACUUCCUGGUUGCGUUGGUCAGUUAGAAAAAUGGAAUGAACUUUGAAUGCCUUGGAAGACCGGCCCGAUCGGAACGGAACUGGAAUAUCAAGAGCCAAGAAAC